rnacentral:misc_RNA from 1 species
GAUGAAGAACGCAGCGAAAUGCGAUAAGUAAUGUGAAUUGCAGAAUUCAGUGAAUCAUCGAAUCUUUGAACGCACAUUGCGCCCCCUGGUAUUCCGGGGGGCAUGCCUGUCCGAGCGUCAUUACAACCCACAAGCUCAGCUUGGUGUUGGGCCCCGCCGCCCCGGCGGGCCCUAAAGUCAGUGGCGGUGCCGUCCGGCUCCGAGCGUAGUAAUUCUUCUCGCUCUGGAGGUCCGGUCGUGUGCUCGCCAGCAACCCCCAAUUUUUUUCAGGUUGACCUCGGAUCAGGUAGGGAUACCCGCUGAACUUAAGCAUAUCAAUAAGCGGAGGA